UGGGGAAUAUUGCACAAUGGGCGCAAGCCUGAUGCAGCCAUGCCGCGUGUAUGAAGAAGGCCUUCGGGUUGUAAAGUACUUUCAGCGGGGAGGAAGGGAGUAAAGUUAAUACCUUUGCUCAUUGACGUUACCCGCAGAAGAAGCACCGGCUAACUCCGUGCCAGCAGCCGCGGUAAUACGGAGGGUGCAAGCGUUAAUCGGAAUUACUGGGCGUAAAGCGCACGCAGGCGGUUUGUUAAGUCAGAUGUGAAAUCCCCGGGCUCAACCUGGGAACUGCAUCUGAUACUGGCUGGCUUGAGUCUCGUAGAGGGAGGUAGAAUUCCAGGUGUAGCGGUGAACUGCGUAGAGCUCUGGAGGAAUACCAGUGGCGAAGGCGGCCCCCUGGACGAAGACUGACGCUCAGGUGCGAAAGCGUGGGGAGCAAACCGG
rnacentral:rRNA from 1 species